rnacentral:snoRNA from 1 species
CCCCUCUUAAGGUCACACCUGGAGAGUUUCCAGUACUCUACCAGUCUCGACUACUGGAGGGAGAGUCAAGCAGAGGCCUACCCAUUCCGUUUCUAGUUUGGCCAGUGGUUAGAGAGUGGAAGGCAAUCUGCUACAAGU